UAGAAGCACUGAAUAUCCUAGGGGGCGUCAAAGCUUACCGAAGAUAUCAAACUCCGAAUGCCGCGUAGAUGAUGUACGGGAGUCAGACUGCACGAGAUAAGUUGGGUAGUCAAAAGGGAAAGAGCCCAGACCACCAGCUAAGGUCCCAAAGUGCGUGUUAAGUGGUAAAGGAUGUGGGAUUUCGAAGACAACUAGGAUGUUGGCUCAGAAGCAGCCAUACAUUCAAAGAGUGCGUAAUAGCUCACUAGUCGAGAGGUCCUGCGCCGAAAAUGUCCGGGGCUAAAACACGACACCGAAGCUGUGGAUCCGAAAGGAUGGUAGAGGAGCAUUCUUAAGUCGACGAAGCUGUACUGUAAGGAGCAGUGGAGAGUUAAGAAGAGAGAAUGCCGGAAUGAGUAGCGAGAUUUAAGUGAGAAUCUUAAAGGCCGAAUAUCUAAGGUUUCCAGGGUAAAGCUGAUCUUCCCUGGGUAAGUCGGGGCCUAAGGCGAGGACGAAAGUCGUAGUCGAUGGAUAACAGGUUGAAAUUCCUGUACUGCUUAUGAACAGAACUGUGGGGACGCAGAAGGAGAGCACGAGCCGGAAAUGGAAAAGCCGGUACAAGCGUAUAGCAGUCACAUAGGAAAAUCCGUGUGAGAAAUGUAAAGCGUGAUGUGGAUCGAACAUUAGUAGAGAAGCGUGUGAGCCAGCUGCCAAGAAAAGCCGCUAUUGUUUCAUGAGUACCCGUACCGUAAACCGACACAGGUGGAUGAGGAGAGAAUCCUAAGGCCGGCGGGAGAAGUGUUGUUAAGGAACUCGGCAAAAUGACUCCGUAACUUCGGGAGAAGGAGUGCCAUAGAAAUAUGGCCGCAGAGAAAUGGCCCAAGCAACUGUUUAGCAAAAACACAGGUCUAUGCAAAACCGAAAGGUGAGGUAUAUGGGCUGACGCCUGCCCGGUGCUGGAAGGUUAAGAGGAGAGGUUAGAGCAAUCGAAGCUUUGAAUUUAAGCCCCAGUAAACGGCGGCCGUAACUAUAACGGUCCUAAGGUAGCGAAAUUCCUUGUCGGGUAAGUUCCGACCCGCACGAAAGGCGUAAUGAUUUGGGCACUGUCUCAACAACACACCCGGUGAAAUUGAAAUACCAGUGAAGAUGCUGGUUACCUGCGCCAGGACGGAAAGACCCCAUGGAGCUUUACUCCAGUUUGAUACUGGGAUUCGGUACUGUCUGUACAGGAUAGGUGGGAGGCUAGGAAAUGGUGACGCCAGUUGCCAUGGAGCCAACCUUGGGAUACCACCCUUACAGUACUGGGUUUCUAACCUGCAGCCGUGACCCGGCUGGGGGACAAUGUCUGACGGGGAGUUUGACUGGGGCGGUCGCCUCCGAAAGAGUAUCGGAGGCGCUCAAAGGUUCCCUCAGAACGGUUGGAAACCGUUCGAAGAGUGCAAAGGCAGAAGGGAGCUUGACUGCGACACCGACGGGUGGAGCAGAUACGAAAGUAGGACUUAGUGAUCCGGUGGUAUAAAGUGGGAUUGCCAUCGCUCAACGGAUAAAAGCUACCCUGGGGAUAACAGGCUUAUCACUCCCAAGAGUUCACAUCGACGGAGUGGUUUGGCACCUCGAUGUCGGCUCAUCGCAUCCUGGAGCUGUAGCAGGUUCCAAGGGUUGGGCUGUUCGCCCAUUAAAGCGGUACGCGAGCUGGGUUCAGAACGUCGUGAGACAGUUCGGUCCCUAUCCGGCGUGGGCGUAGGAUAUUUGAGAGGAGCUGUCCUUAGUACGAGAGGACCGGGAUGGACAAACCUCUGGUGUAUCUGUUGU
rnacentral:rRNA from 1 species